rnacentral:rRNA from 1 species
AUUCAUUUAAAGAGUGCGUAACAGCUCACUAGUCGAGGGUCCGGGCAUGGAUAAUAAUCGGGUAUAAGGCAGAUACCGAAGGCGCGGGAUAGCAUUAAAAAGUAUCGGUAGGGGAGCAUUCCAUGUGCGUUGAAUGGUGUAAGUGAUUUAUCCUGGAGCGCAUGGAAAAGCAAAUGUAGGUAUAAGUAACGAUAAAAAGGGUGAGAUUCCCUUUCGCUGUAAGACUAAGGUUUCCCGGGCAAUGUCAAUCAGCCCGGGGUCAGUCGGGUCCUAAGCCUCAGCCGAACGGCGAGGGCGAUGGCAGAUACGGUUAAUAUUCCGUGACUACCUUAAGGAGCGAUGUGGAGACGGAGUCGUGAAACUUCCGCGGACCGACGGAAUGGUCCGUUAAAGAGUGUAGAUGUUGAAUCCGGCAGGCAAAUCCGCCGGACGAGUCGAACUUGACAGUACAGGCUACCCUUCGGGGCGGCUUGACAGUGAAGGUAAGCAUACUCCCGAGAAAAUCCGCUAAGCAUAUCCUUGAGGUACCCGUACCGCAAACGGACACACGUAGUCGGGUAGAACAUACUAAGGCGUUGAGAGAUUCAUGGUUAAGGAACUAGGCAAACUGACCCCGUAACUUCGGGAUAAGGGGUCCUCGUCGCAAGGCGAGGCGCAGAGAAUAGGUCCAGGCAACUGUUUAACAAAAACACAGGGCUGUGCUAACUCGAAAGAUGAAGUAUACAGCCUGACACCUGCCCGGUGCCGGAAGGUUAAGAGGAGAUGUCACCGCAAGGGAAGCAUUGAAUUGAAGCCCCGGUAAACGGCGGCCGUGACGAUAACGGUCCUAAGGUAGCGAAAUUCCUUGUCGGGUAAGUUCCGACCUGCACGAAUGGUGUAAUGAUCCGGACGCUGUCUCAACCAUGAGCUCAGUGAAAUUGUAGUAUCGGUGAAGAUGCCGAUUACCCGCGAUGGGACGAAAAGACCCCGUGAACCUUUACUACAGCUUAGCAUUGACCUUGGUCAUCCGAUGUGUAGGAUAGGCCGGAGGCUUCGAAGCGGGUGCGCCAGCAUUCGUGGAGCCAUCCUUGAAAUACGGCCCUUUGUAUGUCUGAGGUCUAACGCGCGUUUUGCGCGGACACUGUUUGGUGGGUAGUUUGACUGGGGUGGUCGCCUCCAAAAGCGUAACGGAGGCUUCCAAAGGUGCCCUCGGGCCGAUUGGUAACCGGCCUUAUAGAGUGCAAUGGCAUAAGGGCGCUUGACUGGGAGGCAGACAUGCCGAGCAGGCAGGAAACUGGGGCAUAGUGAUCCGGCGGAUGUGUAUGGAAACUCCGUCGCUCAAAGGAUAAAAGGUACUCCGGGGAUAACAGGCUGAUCCCCCCCAAGAGCUCAUAUCGACGGGGUGGUUUGGCACCUCGAUGUCGGCUCGUCACAUCCUGGGGCUGGAGAAGGUCCCAAGGGUUGGGCUGUUCGCCCAUUAAAGUGGCACGCGAGCCGGGUUCAGAACGUCGUGAGACAGUUCGGUCUCUAUCUAUCGUGGGCGUUGGAGUUUUGCGUGGUGCCGUCACUAGUACGAGAGGACCGUGAUGGACAGACCUCCGGUUUACCAGUUGUGCCGCCAGGUGCACCGCUGGGUAUCUGAGCCUGGAAUGGAUAAGCGCUGAAAGCAUCUAAGUGCGAAGCCAGCCGCAAGAUGAGAGCUCCUCAUAAGGGUUGUUGUAGACGACAACGUUGAUAGGGUGCAGGUGUAAAGACGGUGACGUCAAAGCCGAGCACUACUAAUUGCCC